UACAUGUGGUGCAAGCGUUGUUCGGAAUUACUGGGCAUAAAGGGUGCGUAGGCGGUGUCGUCAGUCUGGGGUGAAAUCCUGCGGCCCAACCGUGGGACUGCCUCGGAUACUGCGAUGCUUGAGUGCGUGAGGGGUGAUCGGAACGCGUGGUGUAGCGGUGAAAUGCGUAGAUAUCACGCGGAAGGCCAACGGCGAAGGCAGAUCACUGGCGCGCAACUGACGCUGAGUGCACGAAAGCGUGGGGAGCAAACAGG
rnacentral:rRNA from 1 species